rnacentral:rRNA from 1 species
UCUGGUAAUGAUGGAAGAGAGGCCCCCCCCGUUCCCAUAUCGAACACGGAAGUUAAGCUCUCUAGCGCCGAUGGUAGUUGGGACCUUGUCCCUGUGAGAGUAGGACGUUGCCAGGC